AAGACAAUUGGAUUUCUGAACAUUUUGUAAAGCUCUGAGAAAGCACUCAGCAAUCUUACAGCCUGUUGAGGUCCCAAAAAAAAUCCAACAACAGCCGGAGAGACCCAGGGGAUCAAUUUCCCUAUGGUGAUUUACUGCAGCUAAUUGAAUUACCCCCUUUGCCUGGGAUCUGAAAAAUCGUUGAACCUCAACUCAAUAUCCCUAAUGCUGUGUGAUAAGUCAUUAAUUAUACUGAAAAUGAAAUAAAAAGUUGCAUACUUAGCCAAGUGCUUGACGAGAAGAUCCAGCAUUUCUCGAUUUUUCUCAGGCAGUUUGUAAAUUAAAAAAUGAACCGCAUUCA